CCGUUGCAGUCAGACUUCCUACCAGAUCUCUCAGUUACAAACAAAUCUGAGCAGACGCAGAUUCUCCCAAGCUCUGGGCAGGGGAAGCGGUGAAGGUGCAGCGAGCCUGCGAACUAGGCUGACUUACUGAGCAGGCUAAGGGACCUCGGGCAAGUCACCUGGCCUCAGUUUCCUCAUCUGUGAUGUGAGAAUGGUAACACCGCCACCUACCAUUCCAAGUUGACUGGGAAGAUGCAUUAGGACUCAGCGAGUGAAAGCCCUCCCUAACUCCACUCGGCGAGAUUGUCCUAAAAGAAGUCCCUUCCGAGUCAUUUGGGGGUCACAAUUUACCUCUGAAGAACCCAAUUGUCAUAAAAAGAGAACCGGUGUUGUCCACUUUCUGGAAUGCUGUCCAAAUUAUUUAAGGUUUGUGACUUAGGUCAGUGAGCAGCUUUUCCUCUUCUUUAGCUGUUACAUUCACAAACGAUACAAACUACCUUCGUACUGACACAUGCCAUACACAAGACAAACAUGUGAAAAACAUGGGAAUGUAUUC